AUACUUAGCUGGCAGGGGAGAUCAUCCCCAAGGUGGUUUUCCCAGGGUGAGCACUCUGGGCAUGCUGACCCCUGCAAGUUCCCCAAAUGUGAGAAACUCUACUGCGUAAUUUCUGGUAAUGGGAGGAGGAGAAGGAGAAAACAGUGUACAGAAAGUACAUUUUUACAGACAUGUGCCCU
rnacentral:snRNA from 1 species